rnacentral:rRNA from 1 species
GGGCAUCGGUGACAGGUGGUGCAUGGUGGUCGUCAGCUCGUGUCGUGAGAUGUUGGGUUAAGUCCCGCAACGAGCGCAACCCUUACGGUUAGUUGAUACAUUGAGUUGAUCACUGUAGCCGGACUGCCGUUGACAAAACGGAGGAAGGUGGGGACGACGUCAAAUCAUCAUGCCCCUUAUGACCUGGGCUACACACGUACUACAAUGGCAGUCAUACAGAGGGAAGCAAUAUGGUGACAUGGAGCAAACCCCUAAAAGCUGUCCCAGUUCAGAUUGCAGGCUGCAACCCGCCUGCAUGAAGUCGGAAUUGCUAGUAAUCGCGGAUCAGCAUGCCGCGGUGAAUACGUUCCCGGGCCUUGUACACACCGCCCGUCACACCAUGAGAGCCGGUAAUACCCGAAGUCCGUAGCCGAACCGCAAGGAGGGCGCGGCCGAAGGUAGGACUGGUAAUUAGGGUGAAGUCGUAACAAGGUAGCCGU